AAGUUUCACGGCAGUCCACAAGUAGCCACCACAGUGAACAUAUCAAGGAUAGCUUACACUUCAGCUACGGAUUUCUUCACACUAUCGAAGCGUCCAAGACUACCGGACUUGGAAAUAAAGCAUUGCUGCCAUGAUAAGUACCCUAGACUGAACUGCCGGCCAGUAGGAAUAGGAAAGGGUUACUUCAAAAUAGAAAACACGACACACACUCACCAGCACACACACAUACCACCUUUCAGUGGGAAACAUGGACGCCUAUAAAACGUAAUAUUAAAGUCCAGGAGAGUGAGGGAAAAUAAAGUGUUUGGAAUAUGGUGAAGCAAAGUGCGGCGGGACACUGAGAUUGCCUUGAUAAGUGAAGGGGAUACGACACCUUUUGUGGAGGUAAUAUUGGCUGUUAAUCCUUUUUUUCUGCUUCCAUUGUCACGUCACGCUCGUCGCUUCCUUUCAUCGGGGAAUGUAAGAAACUUGGUAUUAUCAAAAGAAGAAAACUAAUGAAAGCAAGAUUAUGAAAAUGUCGCAAAGUCGGAUUUCAGGAAAGAAAAAAGCUGGAUAUUGAACAAGAGACGGAAAGAGAGACAAAAAAAAAAAGAAGAAAUAAGUGCUGACAAAUUAUUUAUACGAUAAAUGAAGCAAUAAAAAGAACAAAAAGAGGAUGGGAGGAGCAAAACUACAAAGUAAUGUUGAGGGAUGCAGAAAGAAAAAUAAAAACGGGCACGGGAUUUUAUCAAGCUGCUGAAAAUUAAGAAUGCAAAACAUUUCAUGGCCAAAAUAAAUAUUUCUUCAUUCAGGAUCACGAUUCCAUUAGUGUCAUGCAAGUCACGAGAUGGUUUUGAUUCACCUUGAGGGAUUAGGAGCAGCAAGGUGAGGCCGACCCAACCCAGGUGACGCUCCAUGGUGGCCGAGAAGGUCACGGCUUGGCGGAAGGGGGAGGGAGAGGGGUGGGGGGGGAGCGGAGACAGGAAGUGAUGAACGUGGCACUCUUUCCCACUGGCUUCCUCCACGUAAUAUCCUCAGCUGUUGGUGGUGAUGAUGGCGUUAGUGUGUGCUGUCUCUGGUCAAGCCCCGGCUAGCCGCCUCGCCACGUUACCCCCGUCUUGACUCCGCUUGCUUUGAGUCGUGAGGCUCCACGAGGCACCUGCCGAGUCGAUGGCAGAACUGCCCGCCCCAGGACCCGGGGCCAGGAGCAGUUCACACUAGGCUCUCUCUCUCUCCGCCGCCUUCAACCUGAACCUGCUGGGUCACCCUUAUCAUGGUGAUUAGACGAAAGUGGCUGACCAAGUGAAAACACAGGGCGCUUAUCUCAACUGCUUAACAUGGAUUCACGUGUGAGAUGUCACCACUUCACAAUCCCAUGAACAGCCCACAAGAAUCUCUACUAACACCUGCUACUGCACCACUGGCAUCUGGUUAUCAAAUGAUGCUGCUUCCUUAGGCCUGACGUUCUCCAUUGCAAUCAAGGAGUCCUGUCGCUACCUUCAAGCCUGAGAAGUGUUAAGAAGUUUCAUCAGGAAGGAAAGUGCAGCAGGAAAAGGUCCUGGUACAAGACUUCUACAUUGCAAUCAAGGAAGACUUAAAUCUCAGCAAUAAGAGGAGUGGGAGUCGAGCAGGAGGAAGAUCAUCAAGCAAAUAACAGCAGGAAGAGUAUGAAUUCCCUUCAAGUUGUGGUGGGACUUGCAGAGGCUUGGCAGUUUCAUUCACGUUGACAUAAGAAUCGGCAUGUGUCCAAAGCUUGCCUGGUACAAGAAGAGUUUUCUGCUUCAGUCUGAGAAGGAAGAAUGUAAGAAGUCCCUCUUCCAAGUAGAGAUCAAUAAGCAUCACCACCUUCAGGACUGGCAGUUGUACAUUCCAGCACUUCAUUAAUGGAAACAAGGAAAAUAAAUGCCAUGUUCAUCUGU